rnacentral:rRNA from 1 species
AGUUUGAUCAUGGGCUCAGGGUGAACGCUGGCGGCAGGCCUAAUACAUGCAAGUCGAACGGCAGCACAGCAGAGCUUGCUCUGUGGGUGGCGAGUGGCGGACGGGUGAGGAAUACAUGGGAAUCUGCCCAGUCGUGGGGGAUAACGUAGGGAAACUUACGCUAAUACCGCAUGCGCCCUUCGGGGGAAAGCCGGGGACCUUCGGGCCUGGCGCGAUUGGAUGAGCCCAUGUCGGAUUAGCUAGUUGGCGGGGUAAUGGCCCACCAAGGCGACGGUCCGUAGCUGGUCUGAGAGGAUGAUCAGCCACACUGGAACUGAGACACGGUCCAGACUCCUACGGGAGGCAGCAGUAGGGAAUAUUGGACAAUGGGCGCAAGCCUGAUCCAGCCAUGCCGCGUGAGUGAAGAAGGCCCUCGGGUUGUAAAGCUCUUUUGUCCGGAAAGAAAAGCGCCGGGUUAAUACCCUAGUGUCCUGACGGUACCGGAAGAAUAAGCACCGGCUAACUUCGUG